AAGUUUAAACAUGAAAAUUUCAACCCACAAUUGAAAAAGAAUACUCAUCCUCUUUCCGUGAGUUUUCAGUUUUCACUCAUAGGUUGAUCAUUGAAGUAAUUGCGUGAAUUCAUUUCCACCUUAGAGAAAGAGAAUCCUUCACCACUUCAACGUAAUUUAUCAAAUAUUCAUUCAUUCAAGUUCAAAUGCGCUACUACCACAUUAUUAGAAAUCUACGCGCUCCCUUUUGCUCCCAUUCUUCUCCUUUUACGUCAUCAUCUUCCACCCAUUCCAAACCAGAUGUCAAUUCCAUCCUCACAAGCCUUAACCUUCAACAAAACCCUGAUUCAGAUGAGUAUUUUGAAGGGGUUUUUCGGCAGAUUUCUUCUGUUUUCUACGGUGGUCAGUCAGUCCAGGAAGCUUAUUCUGAAGAAAUUGAUGCCACAAAUGAGUUUGAAAAAAUAAUAAAUAUAUCGCAGUUGCCAAACUCACUUCAAAGCAAUAUAGCAUUGCGAAGGAAAGAGGCUUCUCGUGAAAAGAAAAGAACAUGCAUAUUCAAUACUAAUCAAGACCAACGUUUCCGCCGCAUAAUUGAAAGCUGUGGGAAGAUACUAGGAACUGAGGCUACCCUUGAGUUGUUUGAUAAAGUUGAACGAAAACCAGGCGUGACAGGAUACAAUGCAUUGGUAAAAAUAUGCAUAGGUAAAGCUAGGGAAGCUGAGAAUAAAGACAUUGCAAUUGAAGAGAUGGGGAAGGUUUUUCACCUUUUUGAGUUAAUGAGGGGACAAGGUUUAGAGCUCGAAGAACAAACAUAUCGCCCACUUCUUAUGUAUACAAUUGACAUGAGAUUGGUUGAAGAGUUUCAGUUUUUCUGUCAGGUUAUCAAAGAUGAGAAUCCCAGUUCAACUGCAAGACUGGGUUACUAUGAAAUGCUGAUGUGGUUAAAAGUUAAUGAUGAAGAAAAGAUUCAAAGUCUUUGUGAUUAUAUUGCAGAGAAUGAUGGCGAGGAAACUUUUGAUUUACGAGAAAGUUAUUUAUUGGCUCUUUGUGAGAGUGAAAGGAAGGAGAAUAUUUUGGAGGUGUUGGAAAUCAUGGACAUUAAAAAGCUUUCAUCUGUUGACUCUGUGGCAAAGAUAUUUCAGGCAUUGGGAAGACUAUCAUUGGAACCUGUUGCGGAGAAACUCUUUUUUGAUUACAAAACAAGUGAUCAUGAAGAAGAUAGUAUGACAAACUUCAUUGCUAGUUAUGCAAUCAGCGUUCCAGACUUACGGGUUGAGGAUGUCAUAAAAAAGUUCAAGGAUUUUCACGAAAAACUAGAAGUUUUACCUUCUUCCUCAUCAUAUAACAAACUCAUUUUACAUGGCUGUGCUUUGCUCAAGAAACACACUUGUUCCGAUGAGGGGUUCGAUCAAUUGCUUCUGCUCCUUGAGGAACUAAACAGUACAAGCUAUUGGAACGAUGCUUGCUGCAGAAUCAUAUUGUGUUGUAUUUGGAAUAAGCGUUUAAGAGCUUCUAUCGACUUGUGUAAGCUCCUCAAGGAUAAGUUGCAAAUCGAUGAAUUGGUAAUGAAAAUUCUCUUUGAUAAGGUAUUUUCUCUAAUUGAAGAGUCGGAGUCGAAACAUAUGCAAACUGCCAUGGAGUUUAUUUCAGAAAUGAAGGAUAAGCUUGGCCUUUUGCCUUCACAAAAAUGUUAUGAUUCUCUGCUUGCUGCAUGGUGCAAAGCAAACGACAAUUCUUAUAAUGCUGAAUGAGGCUCCUCAAUAAAAGAGUGUAUAUGCAGUGUUCAUAACUUUGCUACUAACAAAAAACAUUAGGUGCUGAUGGAGUACAUACUAAUUGGUUCCAUAAAUAAUUUCUACAAAUUGUUCUACAUAACUAAUACCCUUCACACCUUAAAAAAGUUAAAAUAUCCAUUUAUUUGAUGUCAAAAUUUAAGAUGGUGUCAUAAAUUAUCCUAAAGUUUGAUAUUUCUUCAAGUAUUAUGAUAAGUUGAACCUAAUGUUGUUUUAUGACAAAUGUGAAAUGACAACAUAACCGGUUAG